rnacentral:rRNA from 1 species
CUUCUAAAUAAAGACUAGUAUGAACGGCCACACGAGGACUUGACUGUCUCCCCUGUCCAAUCAGUGAAACUGAUCCCCUCGUGCAGAAGCGAGGAUAAACCCAUAAGACGAGAAGACCCUAUGGAGCUUUAAACUCAAUAUUAAUUACCUUUUAACCCCCCUCUAAGGAACUAACAAAUAAUUUUAAAACUUAAUAUUAGUUUUAGGUUGGGGCGACCAUGGAGAAAAAAAUAUCCUCCCUGAUGAUCUUCUAACCAAGAGCCACAGCUCCAAGUAUUAAGAUACUUAACUCCCAUUGACCCAUUUUGUGAUCAACGAACCAAGUUACCCUAGGGAUAACAGCGCAAUCCAUUUCAAGAGUCCCUAUCGAC